CUAAGACGGUUUUUCUAGAGUUUAAUCGGGGUCAGUAGUAUCUCUUCAAGAGGGUUAAAAUUCAUAGAAAGAAGAGAGAGGGCCACGGGUGCAGGCAACUAACUAUAUUAAACUGACGCCAAAGGACUAAAGCGUAGGGAGCGAUCGGGAUUAGAAACCCCGGUAGUCUACGCCUUGACUGAUGAAAGUGAAACGUCAGAUAACUCUGCAUAUUAAAGCUAACGCGUUGAACUUUCCGCCUGAGGAGUACGACCGCAAGGUUGAAACUCAAAGGAAUUGACGGGGGUCUUUUAAAAACGGUGGAACAUGUGGUUUAAUCUGAUAAUCCGCGUAAAACCUUACCAGUUUUUACCAGGUGUUGCAUGGCUGUCGUCAGCCCGCGUCGUGAGGCGUGUCUCGAAAGAGCGUAACGGGCAGAACCCUUACUUGUAGUUGCAAGGAUUGUUUCGAAAGGGACAGAUCCGCACUUUACAGGAAUUUUUGCGCUCUA
rnacentral:rRNA from 1 species